CCUUCCUUCCUUCCUUCCUUCCUUCCUUCCUUCCUUCUUUUUGCUGGAGAGGUGUCAACAGCUGGGAACGGUGAAGCUGCAGAGAAUUAAGUGUGGUGCCCACAUGCAGUACCCAUGGAGGCCAGAAGAGGGCCCUUGGAACUGGAGUUACAGAUGAAUGGGAGCUGCCAUGUGGAUGCUGGGAAUCAAACUCAGGUUUCCUGUAGCCCGGACUGGCCUCAACAUGCUGUGUAGCUGAAGGGCAACAGGAAUAGGAUUUAAAACAAUGAAAAUGAAAUUUACUUCAUCAUUUGCUUAACAACAUCCUCACCCAUAUUAUAAUGAGGGAUGUGUGCUGCUCUGGAAUACCACAGACUCAGCAAUGGCGACUAGCAGAAACGUACUACUGGUUCGCAGUUCUGGAGGCUUUGAGGCCAAAGCGCAGUGUGAGCAGGGUGCUCGCAAGGAAUUGGACCUGCCUGGACUCUCUAUGCUGCUUUGGCUUGUCGGAUGACUUUCUCAGCUGUAAGAUAUCACCUUGCUCUCCAGGAGUUUGCUGUGCACUAACACUGGGAAAAAGACAUUGAAAUAAGGCUAUUGCUGCCACAGCAACAAGGAUGUGUGGAUCUCAAAGGCCAAAAAGCAUUUGAAAAGACAAAACUCUGAGUGCAGAAGAUGGCUGGAAGCAGCUGCUCUCAGUCAGGCAGUUUCUCGAGUCCUCUUCACCAAGGUGGAGCCAUCCUUUCAAAGAUUUGGUGAAAUAAAUCCCAAAGUGACUUGCCCAAUAACCGAAGGAGGAAAAAAGAAGAGAUCUUAGUUGUCUGGAAAGUUUUCCUAUUUCCUACUUUGGAUGAUACACAGGUUUAAAGAGUCUUGUGGUUCCUCCUCUUGAAAGAUGUUUUCUUUAAGACUCCACCUUUGACUUAUUAAGAAGAACAUUCCAUGACUUCACGAUGUCUGUCUAUGGAAUGUCAAGUAUUCAGUGUGUCAUUCUCAGGUCCUCUUGAUGUAGCUGUCAAUGAACCCAUCUGGUUGCCUUUUUCAAUGAACCCAUCUGGUUGCCUUUUUCAAUGAACCCAUCUGGUUGCUUUUUUUUUUUGUACAUGCUUGCUAUUUGUCACUUAUGGUUAAUCUUGAUGUCAUGUUGAUGGGAUCUGGAACCAGUCAAGAGACACAACUCUAGGUAUGUUUGUGAGGGUAUGUCUAGGAAGGAUUAACUGAGAGAAGGCCCUUCCUCAGAGUGGACAGCACCCCAGCAGGUGACUCAGAUACUAAGAGGUCCUAGGAGAAAAUGUGCCUGCUUGCUCACCUUUGCUUCUUGCUAGUGGGCAUGCUUGUCUUUGCUCCUGCUGCUUGCCUCUGCUGCUAUCAGACUUGAACUUCUCUAGCCCUCUAAUGUAGACUGAAGAACGGUGUCUUAGUCACUGUUCAAUUGGUGUGAAGAGACACCAUGACCAAGGCAGCUCUUAUCAAACAAAACACUUAAUUGGAGGCUUCCUUACAGUUUCAGAGGUUUUAUCCAUUAUCAUCAUGGUGGGGAGCAUGGCAGUGUGCAGGUAGACACUGGAACAGUAGCUGAGAGCUGCAUUCUGAUCCAUAGGCAGAGAGGGAGGGAGGGAGAGAGGGAGAGAGAAAGAGUGUGAGAGAGAGACAGAGACAGAGAUAGACUCUGGCUUGGCAUGGACUUUGGGAAACUCAAAACCCAUCCCCAGUAACAAACUUCCUCCAACAAGGCCACACCUUCUAAUCCUUUUAAUCUUUUCAAAUAGUGCCACUCCCUGGUGACUAAGCAUUCAAAUAUAUGAGCCUAUGGGGCCAUUUUUAUUCAAACCACCACAAACAGUGAGUGACUCUCCAGAAGUCUCCAGGCCUUCAGCACUGGAUUGGGAUUGCUGAGACAUACUGCUUUAUGAACCGCUAGGUCUCAGCCUCUCCAGCAUGCAUAUGGCCAUUGGCAGACCAUCUAGCCUCUAUUGUGUAAGCUAAUCUGGUGCAUCUUCUUUUGUAAUACACACAUGUUCUGUUGGUUCUGUUCCCCUAGAGACUCAUGCCCAAUACAUCCCCAAUUAUAGCACAACAUUUGAUAACAAUGAUAUAUUUAUUAUCUCUUGCUACAUAACAGGUUGCCUCCACAUUAGAUUCUGUUUCCUCUUUCUGUGGCUCAGGAAUCUAGGUGUGGCUUAGCAGGUCUUCUGCUUCAGGGUCUUGUUUGCCCUGUUGUUGGUUGCCAUCAAGGUGUCUACUGGGGUACAAUUGACUCAUGGAUCAGCCAGAGCAGGAUCUAUUUCUAAGCUUGCUGGUAGGAUUGUGUUCCUCUUGGGCCACUGAGUUGGAAAGGUGUCUUCAAUUCUUUGCAAAGUGGUCCUUUUGACUAAAAAAGCAUACAAAGAGAGCAAGUGUAAAAAUGUGAAAUUGAGAGUGAGAGUAAGAGCAAGGGAGUGCCAGGUGUGAUGACACACAGUUAUAAUUCCAGCACUGGGGGACCAGGUGUGGUGGCGCACACCUUUAAUCCCAGCACUUGGGAGGCAGAGGCGCCAGGCAGAUCUCUGAAUUUGAGGCCAGCCUGGUCUACAGGGUGAGUUCCAGGACAGCCAGGGUUAUAUAGUGAGACUUUGUCUCAGAAAGAGAGAAAGAGAGAGAAAGUGGGGCUGGGAGGGCCAUAUCUAUGCUGGAGACUAGUCUUAUAACCUAAUCAUGGAGGUGACAUCAUUGCCUCUACUGUUUUGGUUGGUUAGAAGUCACCAGGACCAGUGCACAGGACCAGAGGGAGAGAGCUACAAGAGGCCAUGAACAUUAGGAGACAAGGAUCAUCUAGAGCUAUACCACAGACUACCACAACACCAUGUAAGACAUGCUGUGCACUGGGAAGGUGCUAACCACAGGCACUCUGCUAGGGCCUUUUCAUGGAGCAUGCCAGGCAAUCCUUACAGAAUUCUACUGAAUAGAUACCCUUUCCAUCUCUAUUUUAGAGAUGAUCAACCAGAUGUACAGAAAGGUUCAAUAACUGGCAAGGGUCAGAGGUCGUCAGAGGUAGGUCUGCGUUCUGGUUGGGGUCAGAUAUGAAGCCUUUUAUUCUCCAUAGACGAUGAGGUUAACACAGGCUUGUCAGGACCCGAACCUGGGAGCUAUCGAGUAGCUGUUGAAUAAAUCAAGGAAGAGAGGAAAGCAGGAAGGGGGGAAGGAAGGGAGGGAAGAAUAGAGGAAGGAGGGAAAGUAGGGAGGGAGGAAAAUAGGCCUGGAUCCCAUUCCAGUUACUUUUGUUCAAACUGGUCCUGGGCCUUGGCCCAUACUAAAUAAUAGAGGAAUUACCGUAUGAUCAAAUAAGGCUCAAUUAUAUCUACUAGUCAAGAGGGCCCCAAGUUUCAGGCAUAGGACUCAAGAGUAGGAGGGAAUGUGGUGCUAUUAAUUGUUCUCAUGUGGAUUUCAUUACUGAGAACUUCAGAGGAUGUCCUGCAAGUUUGAAUGCCAUGACUAGAGAGAUCACUAUCUAGUCACAAGGAAUGUCAUAGGAGUGUUCAGUACUAACUGUUGAUAGGGUUUUUUUUUUAUCAGCUUUCUGCUUUUUUAAAAAAUGACAAAUUAGAUUAUUUAAGUGCUUCUAAGGUUUCUAUGCUAAAACACCAAAUUUGGAAUAGCUUAUGAUCGACAGAGAUUGAUGUCUUACCACUCUGAAGCUGGGAAACCCAGGGUAGAGCUCGAUCUUAUGGGGCUGGUGAGAGAUCUCUGCAGGUAAAAGCACUUGUUGUGCAAGCCUGACAACCCAAGUUUGAUCCCUGGAGCCGCAGUGGGAGGGGCCUGGCUGCCAAAGGUUGUAGAUGGAUGAUUCUGUGUUUGGUGGAGCUCUGCUUUCCAGCUCAUAGGUGUGUACCUGUAAGAUGAGAAGGCCCUUUGUACAGAGCGCUAAUCUCUCUCAUGAGGACUCUGCCCAAUGACUUGAUUACCUUUUGAAGACCUUACUUCUAAUUUUAAUUUGGGAGUAAAUAUCUCAAUAUAUGAAUUUACAACAGGCCACAUAGGCAUUUGGAUCAUGGUAGGGAAUAAAGCUAGGAGAUAAAUGACUCAUUGAACCGGAGAUAAAUUGAUGUGCCUGUGGCUAAAUUCAUUAAGGAGAAAUGGAUAGUGGGACUAGGGACCCAGUGAGGCUUUUUUUUGCAUCCUACUAACCUUAACUCCAUAAUCCCUUCUUGCUUCUCUUUACACUCAGGGCUCACUCCAUUGGUUGGGCUCCCGUGGAGUGGGUCAGAUGGAUUCAGAGGUCAUGGCUCCUGGAAAACUGUCCUUACUGAAGCUACUGCAGUGCACAGCACUGGCUAUUUAUAAAGUGCUUUCUGAUGGGCUGCUCCCUCGGGUCUUCUCGGGAGUCAUUGAAAUGAUGUGAGAAAGAAGAGAUUGUUCUCCACCCCGACCACUCCUUUUACUCCUUAAAAUCACUUGGUUGUCAAAUCACUGUGAGAUGCACUGGUGUAAAUGGAACAAAAUCACAGUGUAUAAUGACAUUAGACUAAUAGCUAGGCAGCAUGCUGGCUGGGGAUUUAGGGCCUUUUUGUGAUAUGAGUGUGUUAUCAACUGUUGCCUCUCUUUUCUCUCUUCUUCUUCUUCUUCUUCUUCUUCUUCUUCUUCUUCUUCUUCUUCUUCUUCUUCUUCUUCUUCUUCUUCUUUUGUGUGUAUGGUGCACGUAUGUCUUCAUGUGAGUAUGUAUCCAUUUAUAUGGGUGCACAUGGAUAUGGAGGCCAGAAGUCUGUGUUGGGUGUCUUCCUUGAUUGUUCUCUACCUUAUUUUUUGAGGCAGGCUUUCUAAUUGAACCCAAAGCUUACUAAUUUGGCUAGGCUGGCUGGCCAGUGAGCUCCCAAGAGACUCCUGUCUCUAUCUCCCUGGUGCUGGGAUCACAGAUGUGCGCUGCCGCACUCAGCUUUCUUAUACGGGUGUUGGGGGUCUGAACUCAGGUCUUUAUGUUUGCACAACAGGCACCUUACUGUCUGAGCCAUCUCCCAUUCUCAACUGUUGCCUCUUUGAGUCUCAUUUGUGUGUGUGUGUGUGUGUGUGUGUGUGUGUGUGUGUGUGUGUGUGUAUGUGUGUAGAGCUUCCUUAUGCCUCUGAUGGAUUCUUCUUUUUCUGUUAACAUUCCUGGUCUGGUUAAUACUAAGGAUGCCAAUAAAGGAGGCUUUUUGCAGCUGACACAAGAAGCAUUUUGUCUUUGAAGUUCUGUUUGCACCAUGGACCUCUGCCAUUGUUUAUUGGUUUUGAUCUAGCCUUUUAGGUGUCUGUAGGAUGUCACCUGCUCAUGGGCACCCUCAUCUCUGGUUUAUAAAUAAGGAAACCAGGUGUAGAGAAGUUGCCACAGGGGACUUUUCAGGGUGUUGUAUCCAGCAAGUGAGUCACUCUUUGAUAUUUGGACUCCAAAUUCUGAGUUCUUUGUAACCCCCCACCCCCACUUUCCCUGGUUUGGGUCUCCAGGGUCAUACCGAGGAGUACCCAUUGUAUCACCCCUUUUAUUGCACUGUCCCAUCUGAGAUAUGCUGUGUUGGUGGAUGAGACUGAGUGAUGUUGCAAGGGGAGGUUGACCAGAUGUCUAAAUAGAGAAGAGGGAAACCUGGAGAAUUAGGAACACACUGCAAGACAAGAGGUACUGUGGUCCUCUCCCUACCUGUGAAGAGAUGAUUACACAAUGAUUUCAUAAUGUGGGAACUUGAAACACAGGUAUGAAUAUGAAGGUCAUGACCGGGUCCUACAUGACUGGACCUGUCACACUUUGUCCAUCUCUUCACUGAAGUUUCUCUUUUGGUAAGAGAGGGAUGUGUCUUUUGGUGACAGAGGCUGUUGUCACAGGGAAACAGAGGAGCCAAAUGAGUCCCAGAAUUCAUUUCUCUCUCUCUGCUUCUUGAAUACAGAGGCAUUGUGGCCAGCUACCUCCCACUCCAGCUGCUGUGCCUUCUGUACUGUAUGGCCUUGCUCCAUGUCAGGCAUUCAGUCAGAGCCAUGAGAAUAGUAUUGAGCACAAAUGUUUAUUUUGUCUGCUUUGUCCUAGCAAGGUUUCUCUCUUUCAUUACCAGGAGAGCAAGUGGGGGAGUAGGUGUCUUAGGCUAGACUGCAUGUGAUGUUUGCUUUGUCUGACCUGUGCAUCCCUGCUGUGAACAGGCUUAACUCCCAGAAAAGGAGAAGUGGACUUUUGAUGGAUAAGACCAAGAUUUAUAAGAGGCAUCUGGCAGACUUCCAAUGGGCCUAUCCCAUGGUCAGGCUUUUGGGCUGGGUGGAUGACCUGAAAGAUACAUGCAUAGAGCCAGACAUUGAAGUACCACACCUGGGCCAAAGCAGCCUCCCCAGGUCUGAGGAAAAAUCUUGGACAUCUGGCCUAGCAGUGUGUUAUGAUGUGGUGUGGAAAUUGUCAUCCUUAAGCACAGGUGCUAGGAAAACAAGCUUGAUUCCUGUGGGCCUGAGGAUGCUCUCAGGACCAAGCAGCCUCUUCUGUAUUCUUAGAGAUGCUUCCCUGCGACUUUCCCAGGGAGCCAUGGUCCUCAGCACCCGGUGGCUACUGUGCCUGCUUUUUAUCUUGGUCCUGUGACAGUGGAGUCUCAAGGGCCUAGUGUAGUCAUCUUGUGAGCUUUUCCAGAACAAGGAAGCAGUUCUAGUCUUAACAUCUGAGUGAUUGUGAGAGCUGCUGGGCUUCUGACUUGACUUUGGAUAGCCAGGGUCAACAGGUGACUGGUUUGAGAAAGGAUGACCAGAAAGUUGAUUGGGACAGUUUGGUCCAAGACAUAACUUACUGUGUUUACCUGGUAAUUUGAAGGAUGCUUAAUCAGACCAGUCAAAAUCUUUGUAAUGUGAUUUUAAACAAUAUCUCUUCACAGAUCAUAUUGCAAGGAAAUAUUCAUGGAGAAAUGAGUCAUUAUUUAUUAUUAAAUUUAAAGGACUUGGGGGGUUAUAAAUAAACUCUUCAUCAUCCACUCAAAAGUAACAGAGCUCGUGACUUUGCUGCUCCAAAGAAUCAUGUCCCAGCUUGCCUUUUUCUGCCAUCCAAUUUAUAUCUAGCUUUAUCUCACCCACAACCAGCUGGUGGGUGUUUAAGAAGUGAAAAAUAAUUUUAAUAUUUGCCAAGGUGAAAUAGAAUUAAUUUGGCAAAUCUGCUACUUAAAAGAGCAUGGGAAAAAUACUCAGGCAAUAUAGAAGUUAUUUCUGAAUUGUCUUUUAUUUUCAAUUAUUGCUAUUACAUACCCCUUUUGUUAUCAUAGGUGAUUAUGUAUUUGCUUUAAAACCAAGCUAAAACAAAGCAGAGUAAAUAAAAUUACAACCAAGGGACAAAGUAGGAAGAACAUAUUAACUACAUAGCAUUUUAUUUCUAUUAUCUGUGUCUCCAUCUAUCCAUCCAUCCGUCCAUCCAUCCAUCCAUCCAACCAUCCACCCACACAUCUUACAUUCCUCUAUCCCUCCCAUCCACUCUUCUAUUCACCCAUUUACCUAUCCACCGUUUACCCAACCAUCCACCCAUCCCACCCAUUAUGCCCACCCAUCCAUCCUUCCAUCCAUCCAUCCAUCCAUCCAUCCAUCCAUCCAUCCAUCUUCCUACCCAUUUACCCUGUCCAUCCCACAGAGCCUAUCUCCAUUUAUUUAUAGCAUCCAUUCUACUAUACUGUUCAUCCCAUCCCAUCCAUCCAUCCAUCCAUCCGUCCAUCCAUCCACCCAUCUUCCUACUCACCCACCCAUCCAUCCUGUCCAUCCCAUAGAGCUCAUCUCCAUUUAUUUAUAGCAUUCAUUCUAACUAUACUGUCCAUCCCAUCCAUCCAUCCAUCCAUCCAUCCAUCCAUCCAUCCAUCCAUCCUUCCAUACAUUCUUCCUUAUACCCAUCCAUAUACCCAUCCAAACCAUGGCCAAGGUUUUAGGUAGUAUUGAAGUUUUGGAUAAGUUUGUUAUGGAUGACUGCUCUAUUCAUAUUUAACAGCACACCUUUUCUUUACCUACCCACCUCAAUUAUUACAAUAAACGAUGAUGCUAGGCUUUUUCAAAUAUUCCUCUGGGCCAAAAUUUUCUCUAGUUCUAAUUGAACCCAUACAUUCCGCCGUGCCCUCUGGAGAUGUCAGCAGGGAACUUAGCUAUAUUUUCUGAGUUUUCCUGUCUCCCAUCUCUCAUUGAAAUGUGAUUAUCCCUUGGUUUUCUCAAAUGAGGGCUGUUCUUCCUCCCUUUCCUACCUGGGAACCAGGUGACACAGGUAUCCUUUGUGCCCUCUGCUGCAGACAUUUUCCAUACUGCCCAUAAUACCUGCUCUGUUGAAAUAUGUGAUGCCCGGAAAGCCCAGCCCACUGUGGGUGGUUCCACUCCCUGGCGUUGGGUUCUGGACUGUGUAAGAGGGGAGAGAGGAAGCUGAGUGGUCAGCAGGCAUGCAUUCAUUUCUCCCUGUUCUUGACUGUGGGUGUGACGGGAUCAGCGGCUUCCAGUUCCUUUUACUUUAACUUUCUUGAAAUAAUGCCCAGUAACCUGGGUUUGUGAGCUAAAUUUUCCACCCCUUCCUCAAGUUAUUAUUAUUUUGUGUGUGUUAUUUUAUCACAGCAACACAAAUGAAACUAGAAUGGGGGUUGACCAUGCAGAUGGCUAGGAAGACAGAACCAGACAUCCGAAAGCUUUGCUUGAAUGUGGCAGUGGAUGAGGGAUUUGGGAAGCAGAAGUUUGAAGUCUUCCCUAGAUGUGUUUUCCAAGGUGGGAAGUCAAGUCAUAGACUCUGAAUGUUCUCUAGUUUCACUAAACCUGGUUUGACCUCUGAAACUCCAUCUCUGUUUACCCACUCAAGCAGUACAUUGUUUUCUAUGUGUUACUACAAAUUCAACACAGCAUUUCCCCGCGGUUGUAUGGCUUUAUUCUCAGUGUUCGGCCACAGCGCUUAGCCAUGGUGCCAGGACCUUCUGGAGCCUUCUGCCUCACUCCAAACUGAAGCAGAUAUUCUAAGUUUCACCCUGGGAACCCCCUUAACCCCUUGGAGAUUUCACCUCUGGAUUAAAAAGAAAAUUAAAUUAGAUUUUAAUUUGUUCUUACAUUUUCAUAUAAAUGUAAGUUGCGCAUUGGUGAGUACACUUCCACCAUGUCCCCCUGUUCUUGCUUUUUCACUUUUCCAUGUUCAGUGUUAGUCCCUGUUGUGUGAUAUUUUGUUUGUGCUCUGACAAAUAAAGCUUGCUUGGAGUCAGAGCGUGGAGCUAGCCCCUAGUUAACCAUAGAGGUCUGGAGGUCUGUACAGAUGGGAGACAGGAAGUGAUAAAGUGGAGCGGAGACAGGAUCUCAUCCUUUUUUGGUCAGAGGAUUCAGAGAGGUAUGAAAUGAUUGUGGCUGCAGGCAUGCAUGUGUACAUGUGGGCGUUCAAACCAGUGUGUGUAUAUGUGGAGGGCAGGGCACUGAGGAUCCUCCCUAUCACUUUCUCCUUUAUUCCCUUUAGACACGGUCUCUCACUGAACAUGAAGUUCACAGUCUUUUCAGCUUGACUGAUUGGCCAGUAAGCUCAAGGGAUCUUCCUCCACUCCAACGUGGUUUGUAGGUAUGUCUGUAAGGCCUUACUCAGCUGACUGAACUCCUAUGGGAUGUUAAAGUGUCCUGGCUGGAGAAUUAGCUUGACUGACAUUGUUCCGUGGUCCAAGAUGGGUUAAGGACAGAUUUGGGGAGGUAGGAUAGAGUUUCAGUGUUCAGUGCAAAUCUUUUAGUUGAUGCUCACGUUUUUGGUUCAUUAAUUAUCCCGGUUAUCUAGGGGGCAGUCUAUGGAUAGGUGACCCUCAGUCCAUAGAUUCCCAGUUUAAUCAUUUUCAGAGCAUUAGUUCUCAAACUAUGAUCCAAGGUCAUAUAAAGGUCACUUAGCCACUUUCAGGGGUUAGAAAGAUCAAAACUACUUAAAUAGUAAUGCCUAGGUUUAGUUUUCAUUUUCCUGUCUCGAUGAUGCUGUUCUUGCCUUGGUUUUCUUUGACUUGAGAAGGGUAGUUAUUUUUCACAAAAAUAAGUUAUUUGCAUAAAUACAGAGCAGAUUUUCAUUAUUAAUUUGGAGUAAAUUAAUAGUUAAAGGUGAUUCUGUUCUACUUUCUCACAUAAGAAACAUCAAUACAUAGAAUAUAUUACAACCCAUAUAAACUAAAGCUUUUUGGGUCAUAGUUUUGAAGGCUUUGAAAAUGGCCUGUGACUACAAAUCUGAGAAUUGUUCUAGACACUGGAGCCAAGAGAACAGCCCUCCAGCAUUUUAUGGACUGGACUGUGCUCCUUGGCCAGGAGACAUGAGGAUGGGGCCACCUUGUUUCUAAACAGGAGAAUUCUUUUCUUUCUCUUUCAUUCCUUCUCCUUCAGAGGUUCCUGAUCUUGGCAGUGAUGGAGCUGAGACAGAGCCUGUGUCUCUUCAGCAUUGUUAGUCAGCCUUGAAGGCCCAUCCACUUCUAGAGAUGUCUACUGUUACUUAAGGUUAUAAAUCUUGGAUCUUGGAGCCAUUGCUAACUUAGCAGACACGUGAUGGAAGCCAAGAGGAGAAUGUGGAGAGAGGAGAAUGUGUAGAGAGGGGAGAAUGUGUAGAGAGGGGAGAAUGUGUAGAGAGAGGAGAAUGUGUAUAGAGAGGAGAAUGUGCAUCGAGGCUGGGGAAGCCUUUUCAGUGGGUGCUGGAGAUUAAAGUUCAUUUUAAACUCUGGCUGCCUGUAGGUGGCUUCCACAACAGGGUGUUCUCAGGGGGAGUAGUAGUGGCAUAGACCAGAUUAAAAUAGUUUCUGGCCCAUCCACUCCAUCCUUCUUUUGUCUUUUUCUGGUUCCCUUGAUCUCCCUCCAUUAGCAGACCACAACUUCUUGUCCCAUGUUGCUCUUCCUACUGUAAGUCCCUCCUCAGUUGUUUUUAAUUUUUAUGACAGAACCCGGACCACUCUGCACGACCUGUAAGAUGCUGCAUGGCCUCACUCCUGCUGUCUCCAUCAGACCAUUGGCUUGCAUCUCCUGUUUUUGUUUCCUCAGCCUAGGGGACUGUCUCAGUUUCCUGGACAGCCUGAACAGAUUGCUUAUGGCCAAUGCCCCUGACCCCUACCUCAUCCCUUGGCUAGCUACUUCUAUAUUAGAGUUUCAACCUACAUGGGUUUUCUUCAGUAGAUGUUCCCAUCUGCUCAAUCUAAAACCAGUUUUCCAUAUGAUAUAGUCCUACUCAGCUUUUGGUUUUAUUUGAUUUUUAAAAUCACGUUACCUUUCUUUGCUUCGUAGCAUAUACAGUUAGUUGUUAUAUACAACUCUGUCUAGAUAGGUUCUGUCUGGGUACACAGCAGCCAGGGUGUCACAUGUUUAUUCAGUUGCUAUCAGGUCAAAGUGGUUUCCACCAUGGCACUGGCUGCCUUUUGGCUGGAGACUGGCCUCUGAGAAGAUGUUUAGUAAGUUUCAGUAACUUAGGGAAAACACCAGGGACCACGCUGACUCUUGGAACUCCAGAAUAAUUAUUUUUGAACUGUUCCAACAGAACCCACGAGAGACUUAUUUAAUAAUGUUAUAUCCCUUCAAAAUUUACUGGGCAAGUUACUGAACUAAACGUCUUGUGACUUCACAUUCUGGGUUUUAAUAACGGAGAAUCGAUAACCUGUUCCCAUUCAUUGAAGUCUGCAGUUAAAAUGUAUCUGAAGGGUCCCCAAUGGGGAGCAAAAGCAGGGACCCAAUCCUUUGUAUUGUCAAUCUUUUAAACUUUAUCCAUUUUGGAGGCUGUGAAGUGGUAAGCUUACUGUGAUUUUAAUUUAUACCUCUCUAAUGUGUAAUGAACUUGGGAUUUCCAGCUCAAGGGCAGAUGUGUCUGGAAACUGGACAUGUUACAGGUUGGAGGCUGAGUCAGCUUGUGGUCUGACCUGGAUGGUUAUGUUCUCUUCUGGCAUUUUAACAAUACAAUGUGCAUGCUUUGUCUCAAGGUUUUGAAAGAUACACAGUCUAGAUUAGAGGUUCUCAACCUUCCUAAUGCUGCCACCCUUUCAUACAGUUCCUCAUGCUGUGGUGACCACCAACCAUAAAAUUAUUUUGUUGUUACUUCAUAACUAUGAUUUCGCUUCUGUUUUGAAUCAUAAUGUAAAUAUCUGAUACAGAACACCCAAAGGGGUUGUAACCUACAUGUUGAGAGCCUCUGGUUUAGGGGUACCUUUGAGUUAAGGUAUCAUGGAAAGCAAAACCACAAGCAAGCAGGCAGGGGACUCCUAUUCUCUAUUUAUAGUAGAAUCUUAUAAUCUUCUAGGGAAGAAGACGAUGAUAUCCCUAGAGGCGCCAAGAAAGUGCAUGACAUGCUGUGAGCUCUUGCUAUGUCAGCUGUGUGCUUUGUGCCAGCACAUCUUCACCAUGCCCUCUAGAGGCAGGGGGUGGUACUACACCCAUACUCUGUAGGAAGUUCAAGGAGACCCAAUGUUUGCCUAGGAAUCACAGGGGCUGGAUUUAAAACCCUGGUGACUGAUGGCAUAGUAUGUACACCUAAUGCACACGUUAUUCUGGAAGAACUCUCCCUCAGGUAGAAAGCUGUGUAGCUGUGUGAAGGUCCUAGUUCCGUCAUUUCCUGCCUAUGUGACCUUGGGCAACUUAACUUAGCUUUUUGGAGUUCUUGUAUGAUGGAGAUAGCAACACUUGUCCUCCAGAGGUAGCAUCAAACCUGACCGAAAUUUCCUUGUAUAUCAAAUGUCUGAUAGAACUUGGCAAAGACCUAGAAAUGGCCAAUAGACACAUGAUCAAGUUCACCUGACAGUACCAUACAUUAAAGCCAUGAUAAGAUACCAUGUCACCCCCAGCAGAAUGGGUAAAAUGGAAAGAUUUGACAGACUGCAAUGUCAAGAGUUUGAGUGGAAAAAGUUCUCCUGUGUGUCUGGACAAGAGUAUGCAGAGGAGUGAAGCCUGAGGAGAAAUCAUGCAGCAGAAUCUACUAAUGAUGGGAAUGAGCGUAUGCCAUGGCAGGUGAUUUCCCUUCUGAGCAUGUACUCAAGGGAAUGGCAGUUUGUGUUUAUUCACAGCCCCUUUCAUAGUAUCAAAAUACUAGAAGCAUCCAUCAAAGGAGGUGGAAUAAACACGCUGUGGUGGAGUACUGAAGGGGAUGCCCUUCACCAGCCAGCUCAUGGUAGAUGUGCAGAUGAAUCUUAGAGGUAUCCUAUUGGAUGAGAGAAGCAGACAGAGUGCACCCUUUCUAGGCAUACUUUUUCUUGAGUUCCAAUUACACUUCACUUAUAUGAACUCAAGAAAGGCCCAAACCAGUCUUUGGUGAGAGAGCUCUGAGCGGUGGCGACUCCCGUGAAGAACGCAGGGGAAGUUGUUGAGGAGAGGAGGAGUUUCUUGCCUUGAAUCAAGUCAUGGCUCAUGGCUAUAGAUAGGUAAAAUUCAUUAAGCUGCACAUGAGAGGUAAGUGGGCAUUAGUGUAAGUCAUAUGACAUGUAUAAAAUGAUAAGGUACAGUGCAUUAUGACAUACGAAAUGCUAAGGUACAGUGUAUUAUGACAUGUUUGAAAUGAUAAGGUACAGUGUAUUAUGACAUGUAUGAAAUGCUAAGGUACAGUGUAUUAUGACAUGUAUGAAAUGCUAAGGUACAGUGUAUUAUGACAUGUAUGAAAUGCUAAGGUACAGUGUAUUAUGACAUGUAUGAAAUGUUAAGGUACAGUGUAUUAUGUAUGAAAUGCUAAGGUACAGUGUAUUAUGACAUGUAUGAAAUGCUAAGGUACAGUGUAUUAUGACAUGCAUGAAAUGAUAAAGUACAGUGUAUUAUGACAUGUAUAAAAUGAUAAGGUACAGUGUAUUAUGACAUGUAUGAAAUGCUAAGGCACAGUGUAUUAUGACAUGUAUGAAAUGCUAAGGUACAGUAUAUUAUGACAUGUAUGAAAUGUUAAGGUACAGUGUAUUAUGACAUGUAUAAAAUGUUAAGGUACAGUGUAUUAUGACAUGUAUGAAAUGCUAAGGUACAGUGUAUUAUGACAUGUAUGAAAUGCUAAGGUUCAGUGUAUUGGGCGUGUAGUAAAUGCUCAAUAAACAUGAGAACCUUG